rnacentral:rRNA from 1 species
AUUGAACGCUGGCGGCAGGCCUAACACAUGCAAGUCGAGCGGAUGAAGGGAGCUUGCUCCUGGAUUCAGCGGUGGACGGGUGAGUAAUGCCUAGGAAUCUGCCUGGUAGUGGGGGAUAACGUCCGGAAACGGGCGCUAAUACUGCAUACGUCCUGAGGGAGAAAGUGGGGGAUCUUCGGAUCUCACGCUAUCUGAUGAGCCUAGGUCGGAUUCGCUAGUUGGUGGGGUAAAGGCUUACCAAGGCGACGAUCCGUAACUGGUCUCAGAGGAUGAUCAGUCACACUGGAACUGAGACACGGUCCAGACUCCUACGGGAGGCAGCAGUGGGGAAUAUUGGACGAUGGGCGAAAGCCUGAUCCAGCCAUGCCGCGUGUAUGAAGAAGGUCUUCGGAUUGUAAAGCGCUUUAAGUUGGGGGGAAGGGCAGUAAGUUAAUACCUUGCUGUUUUGACGUUACCGACAGAAUAAGCACCGGCUAACUUCGUG